rnacentral:tRNA from 1 species
GCGCUAAUAGCUCAGUUGGGAGAGCGUCAGACUGAAGUUUCUCUUUGGUCCUCAGCAAACUCGGGGUAAUCUGAAGGUCACCCGUUCAAUCCGGGUUUGGCGCA